rnacentral:misc_RNA from 1 species
CCAACUUAUAAACCAAUCAACAAACUAAAGUAAAUUGCUUCAGCAUUUGCACCAUGGAUUUAUGAAAAGUUCACUUCUUAUCUUAUUCUUCCUUUUGUGAUUAAGGACUUAUUGUCUUGCCAAGCUAAGGGGCCACAGAAAUAUGGUUUGAGCUCAAAAAUAACUUCAAGACUCUAUGAUACACUUGCUUGCUAUGUGGUUUGAGCUCAUGAUUGCCCCAAAGACAGGCGUUGGCGGAGCGAGUCGUGAUGGCAAGGCAGAAAUGAAGUCUACCAAAUCAUUCAGAUUCUUAUGUGAAGUGCAAUCAAUCUGCAUUCCAGCAACUAUCUUUUGUUUCAUGUCUGCUACUCUUUUCUUCACAUCUUUGCCUUCUUCACUUAACAUGAGUUUUCUUAUUGUUUUCUCUAUGACCGUUCUCUCGAUAACCUCCAAAUAUACAAGGUUGGGUUCGAAUUGGAGGUUAUCGAGAGAACGG